CUCGGAUGAUCAGUCUUGGUGAGCAGACAGUUAACUCAAAUGAUGGGGUAGCCUCAGUUCCUAAGACGCGGGCAAGGAAGUAACGGCAAUGGCACACAGCAAGUAAGGAGCAAAAGUCAGGACUCAAACAAUGUCUCUUAUCUCCAGUCCAGCUUUCUCAUGGACCCUGCUGCUGAAGCUGGACCCCUCCACUGUCUUUCCCUAUGAAGACAGGGACCAGCACUUACCACCACCACCUACGAGCCACCAGCUGCUCCUUCCUGAGAAGAUUUCCCGGAGCAGCCCUUCUGGAGUGAACUUCCUCCAUUUGAUAUUUCCCCAAGAUGUGCAGAACAACCAGGGCUCCAACACCUGUUUUCAACUGAAGUCCCUGACUUUGCUGGCCGGGAAGGAGACCAGGUUGCUGCCCGAGUGGCACGUGAAGAGCUGCUGUUGCUAAAGUUGCUGUUUAUUCCGUCCCUCCGUCUGAGCACAACAUCGCGGAAACUGCUAUCUGAUGUCAGAUAGAUGAUUUUCUUCCCUGAAAAAUUCGUUCUUUUUUCUGACUCGCCUCUCUCUCAAUUAAAGUAGUUUGAAAAGGAGGAAUAGAUGAAAUAAGAUGUCCUGUAGUAGAUGAAUUUUGUUUACUACUGUAAGGAAUGGUGCAGGAUGGACAAAAUUGCCACCAAAAUACUGCUCAG
rnacentral:lncRNA from 1 species